AUACUUACCUGGCAGGGGAGAUACCAUGAUCACGAAGGUGGUUUUCCCAGGGCGAGGCUUAUCCCUUGCACUCCGGAUGUGCUGACCCCUGCGAUUUCCCCAAAUGUGGGAAACUCGACUGCAUAAUUUGUGGUAGUGGGGAACUGCGUUCGCGCUCUCCCCUG
rnacentral:snRNA from 1 species